UUUUCUCACUGUUUGAAUCUGGCGGCCGAGCGCCGCUGACGCGAGUGGCUUUUGUGCUGUAUUGAAAUCGACAAGUGGGCACGUCCCUGUGCUUCAUUGUCGGCGGGGGUGUUUUGAAGGCUUCGUCUAAAUUUUGUGUUGUUUUUACUGGUAUUGGACCCACGGAGGGGAAGGCCCUCCUCGAAUGACUGAUUUCGGCACGCAGUGAUGUCAAAAGAAGUUUUAAAGUGUUAACAGUAGAAUGCUCGAUUUGGGACGUGCGCUUAGCUUCAGAACGGAUGCGUUCACGCGGUUGUCAUAAAUUAGCAAGGUACGUCACCAGAUGAGUAACAUACCCCAUAUAGUCGUUAAGUACCGAUUGAACACAACCUAGCCAGGUUACUAUUUAGGAGAAUGAGUCUGCAAGCGUCGUCUGAGAGAAGUGACGUCGGCGGGCCAUGAGAGGCCGCCAAAAGGUAGCCAGACGCGGGAAUUGGAUUAAGUUAUCACAUGACGUUCUUGGUGGGAAGAUGAGGAAACACGCCCACGUAUACGGUGGGGCCAAAGUGGGGUGCAGACUGCAUCACACAAUUUCGAAGGUUCGACUCCUGUCGGUUUGGUUAUGCUAAUCUGAGGCUAAAAACGUCAUUCCAGUGUGAGAAAAUUAAUGAACGGACGAGGUGAGCUCUAUUUGGGAACGAAAGAGACUUCAUAGUAGUUCUAGAAGAAGCCCCGUGGAACUAAUUGUGUGUGAUACGGAUACUCUGUGUGAUACGACUUAUUAAUUGUGUACACAAUAUGAAGAAAACCCUAGAACUAUAAUAAAUAUAAUUAUAAAAAUAUCUAUGUAAACAGCUAUAAAGCGCUCUAAAAGGGUACCCAUUAUCGUUAUAAAAAUACAAGUAAGGUAUGAUAAAUUAAUAUAGAUAUAUAUAUACAAUGCGGAUGCCGGGCGGCCGUGAAUACGUCAGAAUUGCAUCGUGCUGUUCUAUUUCCGGGUCAAAAAGAGCUGGCCAGCGUUCCCAGGGAAGCAGCCGAGACACGACCCCGGAUGUUUUGGUUGGCAUAAACGCUUCACGGGAUGGAUACGGCGGCAGUUGAAUUGGUGAGGCCGCGCAUGUGUUACGGAGCCGUUAAAACCUGAGCGAAGAGGAAUGCUGCGAAUCGAGACGAUUCUGGCCCACUUCGGGCUGCACGUGGAGUUGAAUAAACGGCUGCCCGGACUGGCUGCGGUUGGUGUAAUUGGAGUCCUAGUGGCCUACAGAUGGCAUCCGUGACUCCGGUAACAUUCAAGGUAGACCCGACUGCUUUUGUUAACGUGCCGUAGAAUCCUUGUAAACAAGAGGGCGCAGAAGAUAUCGCGGAAACCCAAAUUCUGAAUUCCAAACGCUUUCGUCCAUAAAUGAUGUUAUGAAACCCUCCGCUCAAGCUGCAGAACCGCUGGCCAUUUGCAGGGCACUGGAGAUAUCUGAAAGUCAAGAGUGUUACUAUUUAUUAAUGGUGCUGAUGCUGCAGCAGAAAAAAAGUAGCAGGCUAAUAAAUGGAUAGAUGCUUAGAGAGCACUUGAGGUGAUAGAUGAUUGUGAGAAGCACAUUAACGCAUACGAUGGCUUUAAACUUGUUUAUGCCUAGAAGAGGAGUAAUGAAAAAUUAUGAGGAGUCUUUGAGAAUGACUACGUUAUUUGGUAUGAGGAUUAAUCUGUUUGAUUGUCUCCCCAGAUUCAGCACUAGAGCAGGUAAGACAAAGAGGAUUUUUCCAUCUGUCUGGCAAGCCAAUUUUGAGGAGGGUUAUGUAGUUGCAUUCUGUCUCCUAAAGCAGGUUGAUUACAACACUUUGUGGACAAGCGGAGAGCUACUUUUUGAGCUAAAGGGACAAAUUUAUCAGGGAUAGUAUUCUUAGAUUUCUAAAAAUAAGAUAACAUUGUUGCCCCAGUUAUUGGGGACUGGUUCCUUACAGCGGUUGGGGAGGCUUGGUCAAGGCAUUGAUCAUGUGAGACAUAAAGUAAUGAUACACAAAAGGGGUAAUCGGGAACCACCAUAUAUAGAUUAAUAAAUACGAGUUAAGGUUGAUUGAGGAAAUAGCAGACAGAACAAUCUGGGAAGUCCUGCGAUGCCCUGCGCCCUAAAAUAGCCGGGAACUUGCACUAAAAUGUUAAAUGACCGGACAUCAGCAUCCCAGCUAGGGGGCCCAUUUUACAACUGGUGCGUGUGCGAAGUUUACGAUAGGCAGGGCUUACGUCUGAGGAUAAGAGACAGAGGUCAGGAGGGUUGCAACUCAGAGACAACUGUAAAUAGGAAGAAAAGAACAAAGGUUAGUUAGACUUAAAAAUCUUCCACUGACUUAAUUGAACAAGCUAGAAAGUAAGCGGAUAUAAACCAAAUUUAGAAGCUAUGACAGAAACGCCGUUUACUGAACAGGUGACUCUGGGAGGCUCGGUCGUGCUAGCGUGACCUUAUUGACGUGAAAACCCAGUGUGUCCCCUCUCAUAUGCUGUUACAGCUGCGGGUCGCUCGCCGGUUUCGGCUUUUCAGUUUACCCACAACAAUAACAAAGACAUAAGCAAUGCCGUGAAGCCAGGAAGGGGGGCGCAACUGUUAUUAUUUGUCACAAGAGACUGAGAGAGACUCUUCAAACUGACGAUUGCAUCUAUAUGAAGGAUGUUUCUCAUGACAGAAAGAGAGCCAAGGAAAGGACUUUGUGGUGGAGACGGCGAAAAGCUGGAAAGACAAAGAGCAGCUGAAUGGUCCUGUGUCUCCACGUUUACCAAGCGGAUUGGAACAAUAUGAUGAAAAGUCUGUUUCAGUGGGGGACAAAGUGGACACAUUUCGAAGCCAUCAAUGAUGCUGUGUGGCGAAGGUCGGAGUCGGUCGGUGAUCAGUGGCUCGUCGGAAGAUGGUGGGGACACACUUGAGGUAAUUUGGUAAUUGGUAUUAAGCAGGUCACCUGCCCUUGAACAGCAAUAAAUGGUAAAGGCUAGGCAGGGCAUAUAUUUAGGAGUUUUCAGUAUAAGGAGGGUUAAAUUUUACUUAGUCAGAAAUCUCCCUAGUCAGUGGGGUGGGCAGAGGCACUAGAUAGGAUUGUGGGAGAAAUUAUGGCUAGAAAUAUUUUUGCCAUUAUGGGAGUAUGAGGUCAUGCAGUCCUCAGAUAGAAUUCUACUUCAAAAUUUAUAUUAAACGUCGGUAGGGGUUGAAAGAGAGAGGUCAGAAAGGAGCAGCCCUCCUACUUUAUUUCACCUACCAUUGGUUAAUGAGUCUGUUAGUAGUUUGUUAGCAAAUGCCUCACUAAGUCUCCUACGCUGCACAUGUAAAUAUCGAUGGACCAAGACCAUCGACUGUAUUUGGGCCCUAGGGGGUAAUAUACUACAAAGGGGGGCAUUGAUCGAUUAAUUAAUCUGGUCUGACGUGGAAGAGGGUGACUUGAUUUGCGGAUUUGUCAGAUGUAAUAUUGGAAAUUAGGCAAAAAGCAAUGAAGGAUACCUGUAGACUGGUAGAGGAAUCUUGGGAAAAUUAUGCGCAGUGACAGGGGUGUAAAGACUGACAUACGAGCAAGCCGUUUCUUGUACACUUAGGGAGUAAUCAUCAGAAAUCAGUCGGUACCAGCGCUAUUUUUAAAUCGUCAAUCUAGCAGGAAUAUCGCGGUACUGAGGAGGAAAACCACGUGUAGUGAUUGUAAUCGUUAGUUCAAACCGAUCAACUUUCAAAUACUAGUUACGUGAUGGCAGGGGAGGAGGCGGUUUUUGCCCAAACAGGAACGAGGGAAGAGGAAUAUUAAUUGCAUUAAAAACAAAAGCCUCAGGAGGCUGCCCAAGUUUCAUAGCUCGCAAAUUACAAAUUUAGAUCCGCAGAUUGGGUAAGCACACAAAUGCUUCCAAAGGGGUUGGUUGGGAAUUACGAGUCAACCAAUAUAUAUUCUGUGUUCAAUGUUUAUGGUUUGUGUUCAAUGUUUAUGGUUUGUGUUCAAUGUUAAUGGUUUGUGUUAAAUGUUUACGUUUUGUGUUAAAUGUUUGUGUUGUGUUGAGUAAAAGCAGAAAUGAAGCACCACUGUGUCAAAUUCACUCAUGUGGAGAAGGUGUCAAAUUCACUCAUGUGGAGAAGGCUUUUAUGCACUUUGUGGGGUCAUCUGAGACUAACAUGUUUAUGACGACCAGGACAUUGUGACAGACAAGUGGGUAAGGUCUACACAGACUGUUGACUGACUGACCUUUGUGACAGUGUACAUAAGGACACGGGGAAGACUCUGCUUUUUGACUCUGAUAUGUAGACAUAACUUUAUUUUUCAGGACGCCCAGGAGGAUGCAGGGUGACAGUGUUGAUUUAUUGCAGGUUAUGGGAGUGCUGACUUAACGCCGAUUCUUAUGUGAUUCCUGGGCUAUUGACAUUGCCGCUGUUGGGAAAUGUGUUAACAAUGAAUUAUCAGUGUUAACGUGAUUCGUUAUUUAUGGAAAUAAUAUCAAUGUUUGGUGAUCAUUGUCGACUUGGCCCUUCUCUGGAAUAUGAAGGCAGGAAUUCUGCAGUCCUUGCAGGAACAUCUUUUGCAGAGGUAUGAUUAAUUUAUUAAAGGACUUGUUUACAGGACUCAUCAUCUGGGCCUCUGCAACGGGGAGAUGACCUGUUUAAAUGUGGAUGGUGGUUUGUAUUCCUGUUGUUGUUUAUUUGCUGGGCGAGUAGCCUCUAGGAACUUUGCUGUAAUGCAUCCCACCCGUACCAUCUACGGCCGGCGGACCGGAGACAGCUGGCGAAGAAGGAUGCCGUGACCCGGAUAAAUUGGACACAUUGAUGCGUAAUGUAUCCGAACGGGAGUUUAUGCAGCUUCAUCACAGGAUGUUGGAUGGAGGAGAGCUUAGGAAGACACUGUGCAUGCAUGACUGGUGGGAUACAGAGUAGGACCAAUAUCGGAAUGUCUAAUACAAUACUAUCGAAGGAGUUCCCCUGAUAUGGUAGUAAGUACCUUAGCGUGACACUGACGGUAAGUAUGAUAUGAGUGAGUGGUAAUGAAUAAUACGAAACAGCUAUUGACACCCAUGUAGAGGUUAUGAUUCAAAAAGUGACAGAAAUAUGGAAGUUGGCAUGAACAAUGAAUAUAGAGUAACUAUGGUAUAAUGAGCUAUUAGAGUCUGGGGGCUAAUAUGGAUUUGAUGACGCAGUCGGGUCCGAACUAGGGUCUCUACGAGGUACGGACCUAAAAGGGGAAUGAUGUGAAAAUUAACGCAGAUUUAAGUUACAGGAUGACGGGGGGUUAAGAUAUUGCAAGUCGCUGCGGAUGAUUAGAGGAGAGUGCCAAGAAUCCACCGAAUUGGGUCAGGUAAGUCAGGAGGGCAGGGACUAGCCCAUGCCGAAAGGGGGGUGAGAAGCGGGAAAAUUAGGAAAGAAGAGGGGUUGGGGCACCUGUUAAAUAAAUUGUAGAAAUUAUCAUAGUUUAGCUUAGCUUGCAUUAAUAUUAUGGACAAUUUUGAUGGAAAGAAUUGCGCAACAAAGAAGUCUGCAGAAGAAUAAACCUAGGGUAAUACUAGUCACUGGCAAGUCAAAGGGACGACGGAGUCCUGUACGUACUUAAAUUCCGUGUUUCCGUGGGUUUGUAAAAACAUUGCUAGUAUCGUGUGAAUCUCUAGAAGUAUGAAUGUAUAAGACAGGAUUGCAAAUUACAACUGGAUUUGGAAACAGGUGCAAGAAUCCUCCGUCCCGUGUGGGUAAAAGUUUGAGGGUUACCAAGCCCCAGACAUUCAUUGUCACCCUGUCAUUUUGAAUAGUCAGUAUUUAGGUCACUCUAGGUGCAAAUAAACUGACUUCCAAAUUCACAAAAUAGGAAAAAUAACAGUAAACCAGAUUCAAAAGAACGCUUCACGUGUAAAGACUGGAAAUAUGUUCAACUCCAAAACCCUUACAAAAUGAAACAUUUAAACACAUGGAUAACCAAAUACGAUGUCGCGGGCCAGCUAAAUUCGAAAAAUUGGUUCAACGUCGAGACGAAAUAAAAGUCGACAUAAAAAUAAUUGAAAAAUAGAUAAAAGAGGGAUAUGACGACAUAGUUGUCUGGCUAAACAUGGUGUCUAAAGUAGAAAAAGGAAGUAAGAAAAAGAAGGACUUAGAAAAUGGACGGAAAAGGCCUUCAGUGACAUUAAACAACAUUUGGUGUCCAGGAACGUGCUGGCCCUUCCAAAUUAUGAUAAAACAUUCAUUCAAAUGGUAGAGUGUAAAAGCUAUUACAUGACCUCCGUACUUGCGCAACAAUGCGGUGAUAAACGAAGACCGAGAGCUUAUUUUUCGACUAAAUUAGACAGCGUGAGGUGAUAAUGGCCGGCAUGGUGGGCGACUGGUUAAAGCGUCUGCCUCACAGUUCUGAGGACCGGGGUUCAAUCCCCGGCCCCGCCUGUGUGGAGUUUGCAUGUUCUCCCCUGCCUGCGUGGGUUUUCUCCGGGCACUCCCGUUUCCUCCCACAUUCCAAAAACAUGCACGUUAAUUGAACACUCUAAAUUGCCCGUAGGUGUGAAUGUGAGUGCGAAUGGUUGUUUGUUUGUUUGUGCCCUGCGAUUGGCUGGCAACCAGUUCAGGGUGUACCCCGCCUCCUGCUCGAUGACAGCUGGGAUAGGCUCCAGCACGCCCGCGACCCUAGUGAGGAGAAGCGGCUCAGAAGAUGAAUGGAUGGAUGGACGUGGUGAUGGAAGUUAGGUCAUUUUGUUGGCUCAGAUUCCUUCAUGCAAGGGUGUUACAAAACAAAAUAGUAUCCAGCGGUGGUACGCGUAGGAGUCAUGUCCGCGGGUUUGGAGGCAUACAGCGAUGCAAGGGGGGUAUUAUCACUUACGGAUUAAGCAACUGCCACUACCGUGUCUGCCUUAGAUGUCAAGAACUGAGUGCCCUCCAUAUGUUGUACUGUUAGAUAUCCAUUUGAAAAUGGGUUGGAUUAAGUUUGAUUUUGUUGCAAAAUACUGGCAGAGGUUUUUGUUCUUCCAGGGGUGGUCUGGAGCUGUUCGGGGUCCCGCGUGUAUAAACCUGGACUCUGGGACUAAUUCAUGGACGGUGAUGUUGGACAGCGGCCCUGAGCGGAAGGGGUUACAGUUUCUUCAUAAAUGACAAGAGCUGUAGACCAUAUGAAGGGAGACCACCUUUAAGAUUUUUAUUUCAAUUUGUGUGUAAUUUGAUGUUUGCUUCCACAGUUCUUUUUUGUGUUUUACGCUGUUUUUUUCUUAAUUUAUUUCAAUGUUUGUAUUAUUCUGUUGUGUAUGGUUUGCCAUCCGAGUCAGGGUCCCUUUGGGUGUUUUGAUGUACGGGGCUCUGAAGGACACGUGACAUGACUCUCGCUGUUUUCCUCGUCUCGUUUGAGAAAGGUUUUUCGACCUUGCGCUUCCACGAGGCUGCACGUACAAAUUGAUAAAUGUGAGAUUGGCUCCUUUUUGAUAGCGGGGAGGAGAUUUGGUAUGUUUGGCUGUUUGGUACGCACGUGUGGCCUCAGGGGGCAACGAGGAGACGUAGGGAGUGAUUCGGCCUUAUUAGAAUAUUUGUUUUUCCUAGUAAAUGGUUAAAUGCCUUGGAGCAUGAUAGAUUUUCUUGACCAAGUAGAUUCUUUCAAAUUGUAGAUAAUAGGUUAACUUUUUGGGCUAACGCUGGUUUGUUGUUUCUGGCCAGGUGUCAUUUGCUAACUCGAGGUUUGUAAUGAGUUUGGGGAUCUCAUUAAAGGGGGGUUAUGUAGUAUAUUUUAAUAGUAACACAAUCGGAGUUCCUUUGGGAAGGACAAAUGUAUUCAGACCUGUAUUCACACCAACUGUCUUUUCUUUGUACUUCUACAUCAAAGGACAUCCUUUAGCCAGUUAUAUGUAUAUUGGGGUUGUCCUGCCCUGUCAGGGGUUUACAACCGGGCCAGAUCUUCAAAGAGAACUGUUUUUCAUUAUCGCAACAAAGGGCCCAGGGGAGAAAAAUUGACCAGACGGAGAGACACCAGCUGGAGGGAGCGAUUCCAAAUAUGGUCAUGAAGAGCAGCAUCCUUCCGGAUGCCACCAGGGAGGGGCUAAUUCCACGCCCAGAGAAUUAGAUCCUUGAUAAACUGAGAUACCGGGGUUUUCGGGGGCUUUUUCGUCGUUCGGGCAAUGGAGCAGCUGCUAAGACACUAAGGCUUGUUCAAUAAAUCGAAUUAGCCCAAA